rnacentral:rRNA from 1 species
CUUGACACUGAACAUUGAGCCUUGAUGUGUAGGAUAGGUGGGAGGCUUUGAAGCGUGGACGCCAGUCUGCGUGGAGCCAACCUUGAAAUACCACCCUUUAAUGUUUGAUGUUCUAACGUAGGCCCCUGACCGGGGUUGCGGACAGUGUCUGGUGGGUAGUUUGACUGGGGCGGUCUCCUCCCAAAGAGUAACGGAGGAGCACGAAGGUUAGCUAAUCCUGGUCGGACAUCAGGAGGUUAGUGCAAUGGCAUAAGCUA